rnacentral:tRNA from 2 species
UAGCCCGUGGUGUAAUUGGUAGCACGAGAGAUUCUGGUUCUCUUCGUCGGGGUUCGAGUCCCUGCGGGCUAA